AACGUAGGAGACAAACGUUAUCCGGAGUUACUGGGCGUAAAGGGCGCGUAGGCGGCCAGCACAAGUCAGUUGUGAAAUCUCCGAGCUUAACUCGGAAAGGUCAACUGAUACUGUGCGGCUAGAGUGCGGAAGGGGCAACUGGAAUUCUUGGUGUAGCGGUGAAAUGCGUAGAUAUCAAGAGGAACACCUGCGGCGAAGGCGGGUUGCUGGGCCGACACUGACGCUGAGGCGCGAAAGCGUGGGGAGCGAACAGG
rnacentral:rRNA from 1 species